rnacentral:rRNA from 1 species
UACGGAGGGUGCAAGCGUUAUCCGGAUUCACUGGGUUUAAAGGGUGCGUAGGCGGAUAGGUAAGUCCGUGGUGAAAUCCUGCAGCUUAACUGCAGAACUGCCGUGGAUACUAUCUAUCUUGAAUGUCGUGGAGGUUAGCGGAAUAUGUCAUGUAGCGGUGAAAUGCUUAGAUAUGGCAUAGAACACCCAUUGCGAAGGCAGCUAACUACGCGAUAAUUGACGCUGAUGCACGAAAGCGUGGGGAUCAAACAGG